GUGUGUUUGUAGUAAGUGCAAAUUGUGUAUAAUGAAUUUAGUGUGUUUGUAGUGAGUGCAGAGUGUGUACAAUGAAUGAAGUAUGUAGUGUGUUUGUAGUGAGUGCAGAGUGUGUACAAUGAAUGCAGUGUAUGUAGUGUGUUUGUAGUGAAUGUAGUGUGUAGUGAGUGCAGAAUGUGUAUAAUGAAUGCAGAGUGUGUAUAGUGAAUGUAGUAUGUUUGUAGUGAGUGUAUAGUUAAUGUAGUGUGUUUUUAGUGAGUGAAGAGUGUGUAUAAUGAAUGCAGUGUGUGCGUGUGCUGGAUGAUGUGUGUGUGAGUGCUGGAUGAAGUGUGUGUGACUGCGUGUGCUGGAUGAUGUGUGUGUGUGAGUGCUGGAUGAAGUGUGUGUGACUGCGUGUGCUGGAUGAUGUGUGUGUGUGAGUGCUGGAUGAUGUGUGUGUGACUGCGUGUGCUGGAUGAUGUGUGUGUGACUGCGUGUGCUGGAUGAUGUGUGUGUGAGUGCUGGAUGAUGU